UGAAAAAUUUACUGCCAGUUGACGGUAACAAAAAAGUUUUUAAGAAUAGAUUGCUAAAAGCUUUGAAGUCCUUCAAAGGCGGAAUGGUUAAUGUCGAUAACCUGAACACAAUCCUGGGGAGCAUGGGGUUCAAGUUCAAAAUUAAGGAACUUAAGAAUAUAAAGCAGAAUCUGCCUA